rnacentral:rRNA from 1 species
UACGUAGGGUGCAAGCGUUAAUCGGAAUUACUGGGCGUAAAGCGUGCGCAGGCGGUUUUGUAAGUCUGACGUGAAAGCCCCGGGCUCAACCUGGGAAUUGCGUUGGAGACUGCAAGGCUUGAAUCUGGCAGAGGGGGGUAGAAUUCCACGUGUAGCAGUGAAAUGCGUAGAGAUGUGGAGGAACACCGAUGGCGAAGGCAGCCCCCUGGGUCAAGAUUGGCGCUCAUGCACGAAAGCGUGGGGAGCAAACAGG